AGCUCGGCUGAUCCCAGGGACGAGGAGGCCUGAGGAUUUCCUGCCCUGAAAAUGAGGAGGUGGAGACCGUGGGGCAGGCGGACAGACGUGUGAUGUGCUGCCCGGCAGGAAGGCGCCCCGACACCGCAGCUGACUCUGGCUGUCCUGGCUGACCGAUUGCUUCGUGCUUCUUGGAAUGCCUGCAGACACAAUCAAACUACACCCGUCUCUCUUAGUGCAAGAAGAAAUGGUUUAGGAUCAGGCACUUAAUUCCACAUUGGACUCUCUUCCCUGCUUUUCACGGCACUGCUGUCCCCCUCCAGCCUUGCUGAGCUCCAGUGGCCACAGCGGUGCUUUCUGGUGCAUGAGGACAACUCUGCUAUUAAAACUGCGCUGCUCUCAUGUUCUGGACUGGUAUGUCUGGCUUAAAACCAGUACCAAAGCUAUUAGGGGGCUUAUAUUGCUGGUCAGUGAACAAAGGAGAUACAAUCCCCAAGUUCCUGUGGUAGAAUAAAUGUUUACCACAUGUCUUUUUUUAGGAGAAGACUUAAACGUUUCAAUCCUCUUUGGCCUGAACUAAAAUGUAGAUUUUUUCCAAAGUAGGAAUGUGGGAAGGUUUACUUUCAUGGGAAUACAAGUGUAGAACUAUCUGUCUAUACUUCCAAAGCAGGUUACUAGGCUAUAGGAAGGAAAAAGAAAAAAGGAUUUUAAAGAAACGUUCAAAGAUGUGAGACUUAAGGGAGCUAUUUUACCUACUGAUCAGCAAAGGCCUUGCAUUUUUUUUUAUUAAUCAGUACUGAAAAUAAAACAUUGGCACCUUUUAAAUGAUUUUUUUUUCUCCCAUGGGAAAGGUUUAGAGCUGAAAGAGUUAAGUUGCAACCAUAUUUAGCAGGAUUGAGCACCCAGUUCUCUUAGGCUCCUUUGAAAAAUGCUGCCAGCAAAUUGUCUUCAGGAAAUUUAGCCUUUAUUGUAUGGUAAUAGAAUGGAAAAAUAUUUAGUUGCUAUUAAAAAUUCCUGAUAACUUUUCUGAUAUAAAUCAAUUUCAGACAAUUGUGUGUCUCUUUUGAAUUGUUU